rnacentral:rRNA from 1 species
AUCAACGCUGGCGGCGUGCCUCAGACAUGCAAGUCGAACGCGAAAGCCCGCUUCGGGGGCAAGUAGAGUGGCGCACGGGUGAGUAACACGUAGGUAAUCUACCUUCGGGUGGGGAAUAACAACCGGAAACGGUUGCUAAUACCGCAUAAUGCAGCGGCACCUAAUGGUGACAGUUGUUAAAGCGGGGGAUCGAAAGAUCUCGCGCCUGAAGAGGAGCCUGCGGCGGAUUAGCUAGUUGGUAGGGUAACGGCCUACCAAGGCAACGAUCCGUAGCCGGCCUGAGAGGGCGGUCGGCCACACUGACACUGACAUACGGGUCAGACUCCUACGGGAGGCAGCAGUCGGGAAUUUUGGGCAAUGGGCGAAAGCCUGACCCAGCAACGCCGCGUGAAGGAUGAAGCAUUUCGGGUGUGUAAACUUCACAAGAUUGGGAAGAAU